UACCAUAAUGGUGUUUUAAAAAAAAAAACAUAUUUACCAUACUGGUGUAGUAUUGAAAAUAUUUACCAAUUAAGGGUUAAAGUAUACAGAGUCAAAAUUAGAACUCAAAAACAUAAUACACCCCGACGUCGCUACUAUCUUCCUCAAGCGAGCCCGCCUCCACCUCAUUGUCUUCUACGAUUCUCGGCGACAUUGUCUUCUUCGAUUCCGGCGUCGGCGAAUCCGCCUCCGCCACAGCCGAUGCCGAUCGAUCCUCUCCUCCAGAGCACACGCCGGCUGAUUUUCUACAACAUCAUAGCAGCCGAUUUCUAGAUUCUUGAUAAUUAGGGCUCUUUUUGGUUGAAGAACAAACGAUUGUGAAGAAGGUAUUUAAUAUCCAAAAGGCAGUAGAAAAAUUGUUGGCAAGAGCUAGAGAGUAGAGAGCAAUUUUAGGUGUGAAUAGAUCUUGAAUUUGUAACCGACUUAUGCUUUGAUUACUUCUUUAGAUUUUAUUUUAUUUUCUUUAUUGUUUUUUGAAUU